GACGUAGGGCGCGAGCGUUGUCCGGAAUUAUUGGGCGUAAAGAGCUCGUAGGCGGCUUGUCGCGUCGACCGUGAAAACUCGCAGCUCAACUGCGAGCCUGCGGUCGAUACGGGCAGGCUAGAGUUCGGUAGGGGAGACUGGAAUUCCUGGUGUAGCGGUGAAAUGCGCAGAUAUCAGGAGGAACACCGAUGGCGAAGGCAGGUCUCUGGGCCGAUACUGACGCUGAGGAGCGAAAGCGUGGGGAGCGAACAGG
rnacentral:rRNA from 1 species